rnacentral:rRNA from 1 species
GACGAACGCUGGCGGCGUGCCUAAUACAUGCAAGUCGAACGCAGUGGGGACGGGUGAGUAACACGUGGGUAACCUCCCAUCAGAGGGGAUAACACUUGGAAACAGGUGCUAAACCGAUACUGAUGGAUGAACCAGCGGUGCAUUAGCUAGUUGGUGAGGUAACGGCUCACCAAGUCACCGAUGCUGAGCCGACCGGGUAGGGUGAGCGGCAACCAUGUGACUGGGACACGGACCAUACUCCUACGGGAGGCAGCAUUAGUGAAUCUUCGGUAAUGGACGAAAGUCUGACCGAGCAACGCCGCGUGAGUGAAGAAGGUUUUCGGAUCGUAAAACUCUGUUGUUAGAGAAGCGGUAUCUAACCAGAAAGCCACGGCUAACUACGUGCCAGCAGCCGCGGUAAUAC